CACUGUCCCUGUCUACUAUCCAG
rnacentral:sRNA from 1 species